GACUGGGUCCCUGGCGGCGGGGGCCAUCGAACCGUGUCAGGUCCGGAAGGAAGCAGCACUAAGGUGUAUCCCUCGGGUGACCAGGAAAACCUGGUGGUC
rnacentral:SRP_RNA from 1 species